rnacentral:rRNA from 1 species
UACGUAGGGGGCAAGCGUUGUCCGGAUUUAUUGGGCGUAAAGAGCGUGUAGGCGGUUUGGUAAGUCCGCUGUGAAAGUCGGGGGCUCAACCCUCGGAUGCCGGUGGAUACUGUCGGGCUUGAGUACGGAAGAGGCGAGUGGAAUUCCUGGUGUAGCGGUGAAAUGCGCAGAUAUCAGGAGGAACACCAAUUGCGAAGGCAGCUCGCUGGGACGUUACUGACGCUGAGACGCGAAAGCGUGGGGAGCGAACAGG